UCCGGAGGGAGCUAGCGUUGUUCGGAAUUACUGGGCGUAAAGCGUGCGUAGGCGGCUUUGUAAGUUAGAGGUGAAAGCCCGGAGCUCAACUCCGGAACUGCCUUUAAAACUGCAUCGCUUGAAUCCAGGAGAGGUGAGUGGAAUUCCGAGUGUAGAGGUGAAAUUCGUAGAUAUUCGGAAGAACACCAGUGGCGAAGGCGGCUCACUGGACUGGUAUUGACGCUGAGGUGCGAAAGCAUGGGGAGCGAACAGG
rnacentral:rRNA from 1 species